rnacentral:rRNA from 1 species
AGUGAACGCUGGCGGUAGGCCUAACACAUGCAAGUCGAACGGCAGCACAGUAAGAGCUUGCUCUUACGGGUGGCGAGUGGCGGACGGGUGAGGAAUACAUCGGAAUCUACUUUUUCGUGGGGGAUAACGUAGGGAAACUUACGCUAAUACCGCAUACGACCUACGGGUGAAAGCAGGGGAUCUUCGGACCUUGCGCGAUUGAAUGAGCCGAUGUCGGAUUAGCUAGUUGGCGGGGUAAAGGCCCACCAAGGCGACGAUCCGUAGCUGGUCUGAGAGGAUGAUCAGACACACUGGAACUGAGACACGGUCCAGACUCCUACGGGAGGCAGCAGUGGGGAAUAUUGGACAAGGGGCGAAAGCCUGAUCCAGCAAUACCGCGUGGGUGAAGAAGGCCUUCGGGUUGUAAAGCCCUUUUGUUGGGAAAGAAAAGCAGCAGGUUAAUACCCCGCUGUUCUGACGGUACCCAAAGAAUAAGCACCGGCUAACUUCGUG